AUGCAUGAAUGCCGAAAGAGGGAGUGUAAUUGUUUGUCCCGGCUUCCGGCUGAGGAAUGGCGGGCAAAGUCUGCCACAAGCCAAGGAAACUCCAAUUAUGGGGUCGGGAACGGUGGCGGGGGCAGGAGCUGGAUGGACCACUGGAUCGUUGCACGGCCAUGGGAGCCCCGAUCUAUGGUCACCCCUGAAAAACACAAUAAGGGCCAAUCAAAGAAAGACAACACCAGCAUAAACCAGUCAGCUCUGAAGUUGCAAGGUGCAAUCAGUCUAAGCAACAACACCAAUGACCGGAAAGUUCCCAAGAAAAAGUCAUCCCCAUCUCCUGACAAGAAAAACCAAGUAGCGAGAACAGAGCAGAAACCAAAGGCGGCCGGCCCUAGGCCCUCCCAAGUCAAAGCCGAAGGACAUGGAAAAGAACCAAGGGAAGCAGCGACAACCUGCGGUUCCUGA
rnacentral:rRNA from 1 species